rnacentral:rRNA from 1 species
CAAGUCGGACGGGAUUUUCCGUUGUAGCAAUACGAUGGAAAGUCUAGUGGCGAACGGGUGCUUAACACGUGGGCAACCUGCCAGGAAGUGGGGGAUAGCUCGCCGAAAGGCGAAUUAAUACCGCAUGUGAUUAGAGAGGACAUCCUUUCGAAAUUAAAGUCGGGGCAACCUGACGCUUCUUGUGGGGCCCGCGGCCUAUCAGCUAGUUGGUGAGGUAACGGCUCACCAAGGCUUUGACGGGUAGCUGGUCUGAGAGGACGACCAGCCACACUGGGACUGAGACACGGCCCAGACACCUACGGGUGGCAGCAGUCGAGAAUUUUUGACAAUGGGGGAAACCCUGAUCGAGCGACGCCGCGUGGAGGAUGAAGGUCUUCGGAUUGUAAACUCCUGUCAUUGGGGAACAAGGUGCAUACGUUAACUGCGUGUGCAUUGAUAGUACCCGAAGAGGAAGAGACGGCUAACUCUGUGCCAGCAGCCGCGGUAAUACAGAGGUCUCAAGCGUUGUUCGGAUUCAUUGGGCGUAAAGGGUGCGUAGGCGGCGCGGUAAGUCGGGUGUGAAAUCUCGGAGCUUAACUCCGAAACUGCAUUCCAUACUGCCGUGCUUGAGGACUGGAGAGGAGACUGGAAUUUACGGUGUAGCGGUGAAAUGCGUAGAUAUCGUAAGGAAGACCAGUGGCGAAGGCGGGUCUCUGGACAGUUCCUGACGCUGAGGCACGAAGGUCAGGGGAGCAAACGGGAUUAGAUACCCCGGUAGUCCUGACAGUAAACGGUGCACGUUUGGUGUGGGGAAGGAUUCGACCCCUUCUGCGCCGGAACUAACGCGUUAAACGUGCCGCCCGGGG